rnacentral:misc_RNA from 1 species
UGUACAGCUAAAGAAGUUGAGGAUUUUGGAGGGAACAGUUAAAGCUUGUUUUAGUUGUAUCUUGCCCCAGCUGAGUUGAGAAAAUGAGUUUGGAAGAAGAUGGAGAUGAACUUCAAGAUCUGAUGCCUAAAAUAAUGGAGAACCUCAAGAUCUUCGAGGGCAGAGUAGUGUUUAAUAAGAAUGAAGAGAAUUACGCACAGAAGGCUCUUGAAGAUUUGAUUGAGGCGACGAAGGACAGACCAGAUCUGCUUCUGAAUUGGAUUGAUGAGAUAUUUGAAUGUAUGUAUAAAAUCUUGAAAAACCAGAAUUUUAAUGAGAGAACAAGGUUUCUUGCGACGGAAAUUGUGGCGCAAAUUUUCUCGAAUUUUAGGGAACCAGAAGCAGUGCCUUACCAUACUGGAAGGUUUAUUUCUCAAAUAUUUUCUAUGCUUAAGGCCAUUGAUGAUUACCCAGCAUGGGAUGAGAAAAAGUUGGAAAAGAACUGGAGUUUACAUUUUCAGGGAAAAAAGAGGUUGGCUCGAUUUGCACCUGCCAUGGGUGGCCAAUUUCUUCUGAAGAAAUUCAGUGCAAUGUUUGAAUCACACUACAAUUCUGAUGAAUGGCAAAGCCGCCAUGCUGCUGUUGUAUCCAAUGUCAUUAUCGCCUGUGCUUGCUCUAAGGAAUUAAUAAACAAGUUGGAUCUUGUGGUAGAACCAGCCAUGAAAGCUGUUGAAGACGCCCACUUUCAUGUACGUUGGGCGGCCUUGAAUGCAAUUGAGGAGUUUUCCAAGAAAUUGAACCCUGGAUUUCAGCAUCAGUAUUAUAAUCAAGUGCUUCCUCCUCUAAUAAAGGCCUCAAAUUAUUUCCAGAAUCCCCGCAUUCAGUUGCAAGCUGUUAAGGCAUUAUCUUAUUUUGCUCAGCAUUGCAAUUCAGAUCUCUUGACACCUUACAUAGAUGAAAUUGUCAAUAUGCUGCUUAGGUGCCUACAGAGAGGACCACAAGUAUUGAAUGAGGCAGCUUUAAUGGGGUUAGCAUCUCUUGCUGCGUCAUUAAAGGAUAGUUUCCAAGAGUAUUACGGAACUGUUAUGCCUUACAUGAAAGUGAUAAUGAUGAAAGCAGCUGAAGGAUCUAACUUCACGCUUCUUGCUCAGUCAGUGGAUUGCAUUACUCUUGUGGGAUUGUCUGUUGAGAAGGAGAUGAUCAAUGAUUAUUUUCAAAUGGUUUUGCAAUUGCUUAUCUCCUCGAAAGCAUCUAAAAUAGGGACAGGACAUCCAAUGAGAAAUCAACUGUUAAAAGCAUGGGGCAGCUUAUGUAAAUGCUUAGGCCAAGACUUCCAACCUUACCUGGGUGUUGCCAUUCCUCUGUUGCUUCAAUCUGCUCAACUUGCGUCACAUGUCACUUCACUAAAAGUUUCUGAAAGUAAACAUUCAUUUGAAAGCAUUGUCACUCUUCAAGAUCAAAUAAGUGAGAUCAAAUCAGAGGUCUUGGAGGAGAAAGCCACAGCUUGUAAAGUGUUGUGUAUCUGUGCUGAUGAGUUGAAGGAAGGCUUCAAUUUAUGGACUGAUGAGGCUGCUCAGACCUUAGUUCCACUUAUCAAUUACGAUAUCCAUGAAGAACUUAGAACCAUUUCUAUUUCAGCUAUGCCAGUAAUAUUGAAAUCAUCUAAAGCAGCAAUGGAGAAAGAGUGCACUGAGGGGUCUGACGAUUCAUCUUUCAAGAAACUGUGUUCUUACAUUACACCAGCUUUAGUAGAAGCUCUAAAUAAGGAAAAGUUAACAGAAAUUCAAGUAAGAAUUUUAGAGUCGCUGAACGAAUGUAUGGAGAUCUCUGGACCUACCCUGAACACAGAACAGACCAACUACUUCUUGCAUAUAAUAAUGGAGAUUAUCAAAACUUGUUCUGCCCUUCUAGGAAGCCAAGUGGAAAAUGAGCAAACAGAAAAAAUUCAUAACAAAGCUUUUGGUUGCUUGACCACUUUCACUAAAGCAUAUAAGACUUCCUUGUCACAAUUCUUUGACCAGCUCUUAUCAUGCAUGGCAUAUAUGUGGGAGAACGAUAGAAAAGCAGAAGAGAGAAGAACUGCCUUGCAUAUUUUCAGUGAUGUUGCAGAGAAAUGCCAAGAAGAAGCAUUGAGGUACUGUGAGAAUAGUCUUCAAUUCCUAUUUGACGCCUGCUGUGAGAAGAACCCAGAAGUUCAACAGACAGUCGCACAGGGAAUUGGUGUUAGUGCAGAGUUUGGUGGAUCUAUAUUCAAAUCUCAUAUCAAAGAGGCUCUUGCUGGUCUAAAUGCUAUCAUGCGGGAUCAAGAGACACUGCAUCUAGAUUACUUACUAGCCCAUGACGCAGCUGUUUCUGCACUUGGAAAAAUAUGCCUUUGCCAUUAUGAGAGACUAGAUGAAGUUAAGUUACCCUUGUUUUCAUCAACAUCAUAAUUUCUGAAGCUAACAUUAGCACUCGGCAAUCAUCCAUAUUUAAUAGCAAGUUCAUAUUUUUGUCAACUUUCUUGAAGUAAACAUCUUUGCUCAAGUGAUUUGUGAGUCAUGUCAUCUUACUCUUGCAAGUUCAUGUUUUUGUCUUCUCCAUUCUUAAUUAUGCUCUUAUUUCUUACUUAUAACUUUUAUUUAACUUAGAGAAAAUUUUGUUUAUAGUUUUGCUACUGGCUACACUGCUACAGUAAUACUACUUCUAGCACAUAAAGCUUCUUAGUAAAUCUGUCAUAUGGGCACCAAAACUUCUGAAUAACCUAUGAUAAUACCGCAAUUAACAAUGAUUUAAAUUAAAUUAAAAACAUUGUUUGGAAGGAAGCAUAAACUAUUAUUUUCCUAAGCAUUCUGACAUAUGGCCUUGUCCAUUGGAAAACUGCCACCUCUCCUUCACAACAAGUUCAUCUGGACCAGCCAUUUCAGUCAGGCUGUGGGUGAUACUAUUAGUGUGGGUAGAAUUUACCAAGAAAAGAUAUCUCUCAUCCAUAGAAUUUGUAAGAUUGUAAACUGCAUUCAUGAAAAGGCCACAAUAUUAACUGUCUGGACUCUGGACCUCAGGUUAAUACUAGGCGUAUAGUUUACUCAAUCACAUAAUCCAUUAAUCUUAAAGUUUAGCAAUAAAUACUAAUGUAUCAAAUUUCAAUUGGAAUACAUGAUCCUUAGUCCUUGGGACAAUUUCAUCACCUUGUAUCGACUAUUUUACUUGUAUUUUGCAUCAUUAAUCACAGAAUGGUCAGAUAUCCCUAGUUCUUACAGUGAUUUUGUGAUGUUACUUGUAAUUUAUUGAACAGGUGUUUGGUAUAUGGUUAAGCCAUUUGCCAAUAGUUAAUGAUCUAGAUGAGGCCAAAGUUGCCCAUGAUCGGCUUUGUUCGAUCGUUGAAAAGUAAGCUGAUUGUAUACCUUAAAUCACUUGUGUAACCAUAAUGUCAGUUUUCCAGUCAUUUUUCGACUUAUUUCAGGUUCAAAGAGGAACUUAUUAGCAGAAAUGAUACUCAUCUUUCCAAGAUCUUUGAAGUCUUUGCAGAGAUAUUAUGGGUUGCUGAUGAUCUGGCCACAGAAGCAACUUUCAAACAAGUGAUUGAACUGUUGAAGCACUUUAAAAGCAAAUUACCACCCGAUACAUGGACAUCUAUUAUAUCCUCCCUGAUACCCUCUCGAGCAAAGAUUUUGCAGCAUUUGAUGUCAUCAUAAUCUGUUCUUUCUGGUAGAUACGACAUAGGUCCUCUUCCAAUUCGUUUCAUCUGAACCGUUAGCUUUUAAGUAUAUCAUGUAAAAUGUAAAAAAAUAAUAAUAAUAAUAAUUGAAGAGCUUAAGACCAAGAGAUUCUCUGCAACAAUGGCGACAAUUUCUAGAGAUUUUUAUAUUUUUAUUUAAUUAUCAGAGGAUAUAAAAAUGGAGUAAGAAAGAGAAGAAGUGGACUGUGUACUGUGGAU